rnacentral:rRNA from 2 species
CGAACUCUGGUAUUGAUUGGUGCUUGCAUCAUGAUUUACAUUUGAGUGAGUGGCGAACUGGUGAGUAACACGUGGGAAACCUGCCCAGAAGCGGGGGAUAACACCUGGAAACAGAUGCUAAUACCGCAUAACAACUUGGACCGCAUGGUCCGAGUUUGAAAGAUGGCUUCGGCUAUCACUUUUGGAUGGUCCCGCGGCGUAUUAGCUAGAUGGUGGGGUAACGGCUCACCAUGGCAAUGAUACGUAGCCGACCUGAGAGGGUAAUCGGCCACAUUGGGACUGAGACACGGCCCAAACUCCUACGGGAGGCAGCAGUAGGGAAUCUUCCACAAUGGACGAAAGUCUGAUGGAGCAACGCCGCGUGAGUGAAGAAGGGUUUCGGCUCGUAAAACUCUGUUGUUAAAGAAGAACAUAUCUGAGAGUAACUGUUCAGGUAUUGACGGUAUUUAACCAGAAAGCCACGGCUAACUACGUGCCAGCAGCCGCGGUAAUACGUAGGUGGCAAGCGUUGUCCGGAUUUAUUGGGCGUAAAGCGAGCGCAGGCGGUUUUUUAAGUCUGAUGUGAAAGCCUUCGGCUCAACCGAAGAAGUGCAUCGGAAACUGGGAAACUUGAGUGCAGAAGAGGACAGUGGAACUCCAUGUGUAGCGGUGAAAUGCGUAGAUAUAUGGAAGAACACCAGUGGCGAAGGCGGCUGUCUGGUCUGUAACUGACGCUGAGGCUCGAAAGUAUGGGUAGCAAACAGGAUUAGAUACCCUGGUAGUCCAUACCGUAAACGAUGAAUGCUAAGUGUUGGAGGGUUUCCGCCCUUCAGUGCUGCAGCUAACGCAUUAAGCAUUCCGCCUGGGGAGUACGGCCGCAAGGCUGAAACUCAAAGGAAUUGACGGGGGCCCGCACAAGCGGUGGAGCAUGUGGUUUAAUUCGAAGCUACGCGAAGAACCUUACCAGGUCUUGACAUACUAUGCAAAUCUAAGAGAUUAGACGUUCCCUUCGGGGACAUGGAUACAGGUGGUGCAUGGUUGUCGUCAGCUCGUGUCGUGAGAUGUUGGGUUAAGUCCCGCAACGAGCGCAACCCUUAUUAUCAGUUGCCAGCAUUAAGUUGGGCACUCUGGUGAGACUGCCGGUGACAAACCGGAGGAAGGUGGGGAUGACGUCAAAUCAUCAUGCCCCUUAUGACCUGGGCUACACACGUGCUACAAUGGAUGGUACAACGAGUUGCGAACUCGCGAGAGUAAGCUAAUCUCUUAAAGCCAUUCUCAGUUCGGAUUGUAGGCUGCAACUCGCCUACAUGAAGUCGGAAUCGCUAGUAAUCGCGGAUCAGCAUGCCGCGGUGAAUACGUUCCCGGGCCUUGUACACACCGCCCGUCACACCAUGAGAGUUUGUAACACCCAAAGUCGGUGGGGUAACCUUUUAGGAACC